UACAGAGGGGGCAAGCGUUGUUCGGAAUCACUGGGCUUAAAGGGCGCGUAGGCGGGCUGCCGCGUCCGGGGUGAAAUCCCACGGCUCAACCGUGGAACGGCCCCGGGCACGGGCGGCCUCGAGGAAGGUAGGGGCGUGCGGAACUGUGGGUGGAGCGGUGAAAUGCGUUGAUAUCCACAGGAACUCCGGUGGCGAAGGCGGCACGCUGGACCUUUUCUGACGCUGAGGCGCGAAAGCCAGGGGAGCGAACGGG
rnacentral:rRNA from 1 species